rnacentral:rRNA from 1 species
UACGGAGGAUCCGAGCGUUAUCCGGAUUUAUUGGGUUUAAAGGGAGCGUAGGCGGGUGCUUAAGUCAGUUGUGAAAGUUUGCGGCUCAACCGUAAAAUUGCAGUUGAUACUGGGUACCUUGAGUGCAGCAUAGGUAGGCGGAAUUCGUGGUGUAGCGGUGAAAUGCUUAGAUAUCACGAAGAACUCCUAUUGCGAAGGCAGCUUACUGGACUGUAACUGACGCUGAUGCUCGAAAGUGUGGGUAUCAAACAGG